UACGGGGGGGGCAAGCGUUGUUCGGAAUUACUGGGCGUAAAGGGCGCGUAGGUGGUUUGCUAAGUUGGAUGUGAAAACUCUGGGCUUAACCCAGAGCCUGCAUUCAAAACUGACAAGCUCGAGUUCUGGAGGGGGAAGCGGAAUUCCUGGUGUAGCGGUGAAAUGCGUAGAUAUCAGGAGGAACACCGGUGGCGAAGGCGGCUUCCUGGACAGAAACUGACACUGAGGCGCGAAAGCUAGGGGAGCAAACAGG
rnacentral:rRNA from 1 species